GAUGAACGCUGGCGGCGUGCCUAAUACAUGCAAGUCGAGCGAACAGAUGAGGAGCUUGCUCCUCUGACGUUAGCGGCGGACGGGUGAGUAACACGUGGAUAACCUACCUAUCAGACUGGGAUAACUUCGGGAAACCGGAGCUAAUACCGGAUAAUAUAUUGAACCGCAUGGUUCAAUAGUGAAAGACGGUUUUGCUGUCACUUAUAGAUGGAUCCGCGCCGCAUUAGCUAGUUGGUAAGGUAACGGCUUACCACGGCAACGAUGCGUAGCCGACCUGAGAGGGUGAUCGGCCACCCUGGAACUGAGACACGGUCCAGACUCCUACGGGAGGCAGCAGUAGGGAAUCUUCCGCAAUGGGCGAAAGCCUGACGGAGCAACGCCGCGUGAGUGAUGAAGGUCUUCGGAUCGUAAAACUCUGUUAUUAGGGAAGAACAAAUGUGUAAGUAACUAUGCACGUCUUGACGGUACCUAAUCAGAAAGCCACGGCUAACUACGUG
rnacentral:rRNA from 1 species